rnacentral:lncRNA from 1 species
CCACUUUGACAAUAUUUACUUAAGUAUUUCCCCCCACCUCACUCACACACAUGCUCCCCCACACUGGUUCCCUUAAAUAGUUCCAGUAGAAUUUUUUUUUUCCCUUAAGAAAGGAAAGAGAAAGUCCAACCACUACGGCAAUACUUUUAAGCUCUACUAAAUGAUCGUAUCCUUUCUGGCUUCGAAACUUUUGUACCUAAAAAUCGAGAGAGGCGCUGCAUUUUUUCAGUUGAAACUGUCAAAACUUGGAGAAGGGGGACCUCGGAGGCAGGCAGGAGAGGAGGAGAAUCCUGAAAACUCGGUGGAGGUUGGGAAGAUGCUGUGCCUCGAGGAUUAGUUUAAACAGGGGGCUAUAAAAGAUGUAACAGAUGCAAACUGUAACACAAGGGCCAUUAACCCUUUCUCUGCCGGGCACACUCAGUCCCCACGCCCCACACCUAUUGUCUCCUGUGCUAGAAGCUUUGCAGAAAACCUGGAAAGGGAAAUCCUGAAAUAAAGAAAUGGUCACACAAGUGUCUGGGAUGAAACAGCUGGCCUGUCUAUAUUCAUCCUGAGACACACGACUGCAUAUAAAUACAUGUUUAAUAAAGUAUUUGCCAAGUCCUAAUUGCUGAAUAUAAUGAAUUGGAACUAGAUGCGAAAAUAGAGCAGGACCUCUCCCCUUGAUGAGUUUUUAUUCCAGCCAUAUAAUUCUCAAUAAAACUUUUCCUGGGCUGGAUAGCAAAGGACACCUUUGGUUACCUGAAUGAACAGGUACAGGGGAAAUUAUUUGGGGGAGGGAAAAAGGAGAGAAAAGCAAGGAGAGAGAGUGUGAGUGUAAGAGAAAGCGAAGAAGCCACUCUUGAGAAAAGCUUGCCAUAAAGGAGCUAAACCCACCUGAAAUUCCUACCCACGGACACCCCUUCUCACUUCAGACUCACAUCCCCACUCAAAAUGAGAAAAUUAGAAAAGGAGGAUGGAGGACGAGCACACCAAAAAGGGAUAAAAAGAGAGAAAAGGGGAGGAAAAAAAACCUACCUGCGAAGUCUUGUUUGUAGUUUUGGCCAGAAAUGGUGAGAAGAAAAAGCAUGAAGAAGCCGCGAAGUGUGGGGGAGAAAAAGGUGGAAGCGAAGAAACAGCUCCCGGAGCAAACUGUACAAAAACCUCGCCAAGAGUGUCGGGAGGCAGGACCGUUAUUCCUGCAGAGCAGGAGAGAGACGAGAGACCCUGAAACACGCGCCACCUAUCUUUGUGGGGAGGGAUAAUUGAAGCGCCCUGAGCGUACCAGAGCCAGAAAAAAAAAUGCUGCAUGGGAGCUGCAUCUUAGGGCAUGUGUAUUAGGGUGUGUGCAUGAUGAAUUUCUGGACUGGAUCCCAAUAUUAAAAAGUAGUUUGGCAUUUUAAUAAAGGGUCUCUAAGUAAAUUAAAAUAGAACACUCGGUUGGCCGAUCUCUGAAUCUCUCUACACCUCGGGGAGACCUCACUACAAAGUAAGGGAGAGUGUGUAGGGAGGCAGGAGGAGAAACGAGAAAGGCCAUAGAGAAACUUAGCAGGGAAGGGAGAGCAUGAUAUUAAACGGCAUGGGGUCUAAGUUUUGGAGUAUAUAUUUUUUGAUAUUACAAUUAAAGUAAGAUUAAAAAGAAAAGACUCCACCUUUGCUCUGAAGGGAUUGGUUAUGCAAAUAUGGAAGGGAUUUCCUGGAGAAUACAGCUUUCUACUGUAUGGUUAAUUAAAUAAUCACUCAAAAGCUUCCAACGUGACGCUUCUGUCGUAAUCCAAUCAGGUUACAUAGGUCCUAAACAAGAAAGAUAUUUUCCACAUCUGGAAGUCAGCAAUUUAGCAAGUACUGCACAUUAUUAACCAAUUCAGAGCCCACUUCCCAGGGGAAUUUUUUUGAAGUUUAAGUGUUCUUAACCAAUGCUCUGCUGUUUUGUUAAUCAAAAAGCUGGUUUACACUGCACAUAAUUGGAACUAAUAUAGAAGUAAAUAAAGACAGCCAAAUUUGA